UUAUAUUCUGGUUCUACAGAGGUAUAACUUCUCUUUUCUACUUAAGUAGCAAUGUUAUGUAAAUUAUCUUACUACGUUUUCAAAGCCACAUUCUUGUGUUGGACCAUGUGGAAUUUAAUUAUAUGGUCCAUUUGUUCCCUCAAUUGCAGAAUUGAUUUAGUUUCUUUUAUUGUAUAAUAAAUUUGAGGGUGGAAUUCUAUAUUGGUGUGAGGAACCCUCUAAUCGCCUUCAUUAUAGUGAAAGAUCUGUAGCGGCAAGGGUGAACCAUUAAAAAUCUUGCUCUUUGUUUUCCUUUUUCUUUCCAUUUAUCAUUGCUCCUCGAGUUACAGAUUAAGGUUUAAUUCUUAACAAUUCGGAUACUAAUGUUUCCUCACUUGGAUAUAUAUGCUGAAGGAUUCAGUAAACUGAAAAUGAUAUUACCAAAAUUUGAUGGUGCAGCAAUGCGAGCAAAGUGACAACUAAUGUACAUUCACAAGGAAUACGAUUUCUCACUGAAGUUACAGGCAAAACAGGUUCAAAACCAAUAAAAGAAGCAUCUAAUGUUCCACCUCAACCAACGAGUAAAACAGACAGCCGGUCCUUGAGAAAGGAUAUGCACAGAAGUAGACCAAGUCAACAACCAGAUUCCAAGAAAAUCAAAAUUGAUCAGCUGCAGGCUCCAGUAGAGAAAGGCAAGCAGGUUGGUGAAAAGAUGAUUGAGCUAGACCUUUUUAGCUCAGACGACGAGCUUUAGUGGCAUAUGUGGUAAGUCGGCUAGACAAUAUUAAUGAUGAAAAAGAAAUUAAAAUUUUGUCCAUAGUAUCAUCAAGUUCCAUCUGUCCCUACUUCAUGGUUGACCCUCAAUUUCCCUGAAUGUAUGAAAACAAUUGCUAAAAUUUGGAAAUGGCUAGGAACUGUAAAAUCCUUGACGAUGCAGAUUGUUUUGAGAAAUACUUGGUCGUAUUCGGUUUUUGGUGAAUUUUUGGGUGCUCUGUCGGGCUGUAAUAAACUCUACAAGAUGAGAUGCCAACAUGAAUGAGAAGUCGUACAUGUGAACCCAUAAUUUGACACUAAUUUCCUAGUAAUCACAUUUGCGUGCCA